AAAUAGAUACCCAGGUAGUCCACGCCGUAAACGAUGAGUGCUAGGUGUUGGGGGGUUCCACCCUCAGUGCUGAAGUUAACACAUUAAGCACUCCGCCUGGGGAGUACGACCGCAAGGUUGAAACUCAAAGGAAUUGACGGGGGCCCGCACAAGCAGUGGAGCAUGUGGUUUAAUUCGAAGCAACGCGAAGAACCUUACCAGGUCUUGACAUCCUUUGACCACUCCAGAGAUAGAGCUUUCCCCUUCGGGGGACAAAGUGACAGGUGGUGCAUGGUUGUCGUCAGCUCGUGUCGUGAGAUGUUGGGUUAAGUCCCGCAACGAGCGCAACCCUUGACCUUAGUUGCCAGCAUUCAGUUGGGCACUCUAAGGUGACUGCCGGUGACAAACCGGAGGAAGGUGGGGACGACGUCAAAUCAUCAUGCCCCUUAUGACCUGGGCUACACACGUGCUACAAUGGAUGAUACAAAGGGUUGCGAAGCCGCGAGGCCAAGCCAAUCCCAAAAAGUCAUUCUCAGUUCGGAUUGUAGG
rnacentral:rRNA from 1 species